rnacentral:misc_RNA from 1 species
GUCGUAACAAGGUAGCCGUAGGGGAACCUGCGGCUGGAUCACCUCCUUAACUAAAGCACUAAGUGAGAAUUCACAGCAAGUUGUUCUUGUGUAUAAAUAAGCUAAUUCGAGGGUUACGGCUUUAGAAUUUACUUCGUAAAUUCUCUUGCACUCGGGCAAAGCGAUGCUUUGCUAAUCCUCGUUCAGGGUCUAUAGCUCAGUUGGUUAGAGCACUGCCUUGAUAAGGCAGGGGUCAUAAGUUCAAGUCUUAUUAGACCCACCAUUAGAUGAGCUUAGUAAGCGCAAGCGAACUUAGCGAAACCUAUGUACCGCUACUUAAUUGAGUCGUUACUUAAUCGAGUAAAGAUACAUAAAACUUUAACCAGCUACAGUAAUUAAGUAGCGGGGCCAUAGCUCAGUUGGUAGAGCGCCUGCCUUGCACGCAGGAGGUCAGGAGUUCGACUCUCCUUGGCUCCACCAUAAUUAGCUUAACGUUAUAAAGCAGACAGAGUAAUUUAGUAAGUAUUAAGAGAUUACUUCAAUCUGUUUUAUCAGAAAUCACGACCUGACGAAGGUCUGAUAAUUCAAUAACAACAUAGAGAAAUGAGUCUGGGUUAAUUAUCAAGUUCCAACGAAGAUAAUUAACCUUUACCGCACCUUGCUGCCUUUAGCAGACAGGUGCGGUAUAAAAGUAAAGAGAACUGAAUCAAGCGUAAACAUAGGUGAAGAUCGUUACCAUUACGAAUAUAACUCAAAUAGAAAAGUGCAGUAAGCACUUGCUUGAAAUCUCGAAUUAUUUCGAGAUGCAAAGCAAGUAAUAGCUGUCACUCAUUUGGCAACAGAUGAAGCUAUUUAGGGUUGUAUAGUCAAGUAAUGAAGUGCACAUGGUGGAUGCCUUGGCAGUCAGAGGCGAUGAAAGACGUGACAGCCUGCGAAAAGCGUCGGGGAGGCGGCAAUAUCCUGUGAUCCGGCGAUAU